UCGGACGUAGUGUAUGGAAUACAGCGGGGUCAUUUGUGAUGGCACGAUUUAACUUGUCACCCGCAGUCCGGGGUUCGACUCCCCGCGUCCGAC